UUUAGGGUUUGGAUAUGGAGAUGUAAAAAUGUCCAAUUGGGUUUCUGUUGAAAUUUGUGGAAUGUAACGGACAGCUAUUCAAUGAAUGAAGAAUUUUCAGCUUCUCUGUUAAAUUUGUUUGAUUUUGAAUUAUGUUGCUUUAUGUUUGGUAUUACUUACCUGUUUUGCCUUGUUUAGUUUCAACUGUUUGUCUGAUGAUUCCUUGAAGCUGUCUCUAUGCAUAAUGCUUACAGAGUUGGCUGUUCAAUCUCGAUUUGUUGCUUGAUAUUUGCAAUGUCUCUUUGAAUAUUGACAGGACACUUGGGCGUUCAGUUUCUCUGAUAAUGUUUGAUCCAUGGAAGUGACACUGGAUGUCCAUGAUUUUUCAGAAGGAGACUCCUCUGCAGCACCUACCUUCUGUUGCUGUUAUUAACUAUUACUGAGCUCCUCCAUUGCUCAAAAUUAAAUUAAAAUGUUUAGUUAGCUUGCUUCUGAUGGUUUACUCGUGCAGCCUCAACGAUCUUGGUAGAGAAUCAAGUAGCACCGCUGCUGGCUGCCGGCGCUAACCAAGGUUUGCCGUCCGCCUGGCCAAUGAUUAUGUUGACAAACGCCGGCAAAUAAUAAAUGCAUUAAAAACAAUCAUGCCGGGAAGGAUGGAGCAUAAACAAAAUUGCAAGUGUAAAGAGGUU